AAUCCACCUCCAGAUGGCUGAGUACCUUCAAAGGUGCUUCUGACAUAAAAGGUUAAGACAGAUUUCUUACAUCCAAUCAAUUAUAUUGCCCUUGUAAAUAUGCAACCUGAGUUUUGUUUGUUUUUUAGUCUGAAUGUCUGUAUUAAGAUGGGCUCUCCAGGAAAAAGAUUUUGAGUCUGAGAUUUGUGUGCAGGAUGUUCAUUAGGGAUAUACCCUGGCUCACCCAUGGGGGGUGAAGGACAUGAGACUGGGCACAGGGAAGAGGUGAAUUGGAUGCAAUCACAACAAAAAUCAUUCCAGAAAAGGGACUCAGCUGACAGCUAUCAGCCACCAACAUUUUGCAGUUGGAGGAAUAAAUAUCUCAGUCCUGAAGGGGAAUCCAGACAGCACCUCAUAGCAUUCAUUUCAACAGAACCACUACAAUGGAGACUUCUCGACUCCCUCUUUAAAUCAGCCAGUGUCAACAGAUUGAGGAAGAGGAGGAGCUGAAGUGCAGAGGGAGAAGAAGGAAUAGUUUCUGGGCUCACACCCAUAAUCCUACACUGUACACAGAAAAGGAACUGAACAAAUAUUCCGAAGAAAGAAAAGUAGUUGUUCCUGUAUUAUGCAAAUAGAGAAGAAGCUUUUUUAUAUUUCCCCAAGCUUUCCAAAGUGGCUGUUUAUUUUACCAUAAUAUUAUUUUCUUAACAAGUUGCUAAAUAAUUAGUAUUUCCAUUUCAUCCUCUAACUUAUGGAUGCUUUCUGGGUCCCCCUCUUCAUUUUUUAUUCCUCUUGAUUAUUUCUGAUAAGAAAUGAACAGAUCAAAACUAUAGCUGAGGUGACCAAACAUAUGUAUAUAAUCUAUCUGAUGAGGCUAUCAAAAAGCUCAAAUUUGGAGCAUGGUAAAACUAUUUUUUCAAAAAAAAAAUUAAACUAAACCACCAGUAAAAAUUUUUUUCUAAGACCACACAAUCAGUAGUUUAAGAGAAAAAAAAUGGUUUAUAUUUAAUUGGUCAUGAACUGAGUGAUGUGAUGAAAAGAAAGUGUUAAGAGGAAUAAAACCCCAAAGAUAAUAUUAUAAAGGCUUUCC
rnacentral:lncRNA from 1 species